UACGGCGCGGCCGGGCCCGGCUGUGGCUGGGCCCGCGUCGCCCCUUCCGCGGGCGGGGAAGCAGAGGCCGCGGUACAAAUGAGGGUCGGCAGACGAGGUUGUGAAGAUUUGCAUUGCAUUCGCUGCAACCUGAAGCUGUUGCACGUUAUUAGAGUAAUAUUUUCUCCCCGUAUACAUUCGGGGAUGUGGUUAUGUUGUCCCUAAAUAAGGGCUCCCCACCCGGCGUGGGACAGGCAGCCAACGCGCCCCGUCGAGAUACUCGGGUUUAUUUCAGUUCUGCAGAAUUGAGUACCAGCUGUUUAACAGCAACCAGCACACCUGGCCUUUCAAACCGCCCGAUAUUUAGAACGAUAAAAUACAGCUCAUUGGCUAAUUGAGCCCCUCAGCACUCCUAACGUCAGCAACUGCAAAAGACCCCGUAAGACGCAUUGUUUUGUUCUGGAUCCUGCUCAAGACUGACCCUCUGCACACAAAGUGUGCACAUUCACCCAGACACUACUUGAGCUACAGCAUCUUCCCAAACUGCCCCACGGUCUGCAGCGGUUUGCUGAAAGCUACACGAUUUCCGAGAAAACCUCUACAAUAAAGCUAGAGGAGGAGGAAGAGGAGGCCCCACAGAAGUCCUUAACGUUCAGACUGCUUUAAUCUAAUUAAAAGUUCAGCACUGGGAGACUGCAGGAAGAGGAGUCACUGUUCAGAGCUGAACCAUGAGGACUCGGGAGGUUUUGGGGGACUGAAGUUGGGCGCAACUGCUAAGGUAGUGAACAGCUGGCAGUCUGUAUGUUCAUGUACAUAUUAAAACAAAAGGGAAUUACAGGAACUUGGUGGUAGUAAGGAUAUAGCUUGGAUUUAAGUGUUGUUCUAAAGUGUCUCUUUUCAAAAAUUCUGGCUAUGGUAAUAUUUCAGUACUUAGUUGAGUUUCAUUCUGCUUUUUAACACUGCCUUCCUUAUGAAUUAAAAAUGUGUUACUCUUG